rnacentral:rRNA from 1 species
AUUGAACGCUGGCGGCAGGCUUAACACAUGCAAGUCGAACGAUGAUUAUCUAGCUUGCUAGAUAUGAUUAGUGGCGGACGGGUGAGUAACAUUUAGGAAUCUGCCUAGUAGUGGGGGAUAGCUCGGGGAAACUCGAAUUAAUACCGCAUACGACCUACGGGUGAAAGGGGGCGCAAGCUCUUGCUAUUAGAUGAGCCUAAAUCAGAUUAGCUAGUUGGUGGGGUAAAGGCCCACCAAGGCGACGAUCUGUAACUGGUCUGAGAGGAUGAUCAGUCACACCGGAACUGAGACACGGUCCGGACUCCUACGGGAGGCAGCAGUGGGGAAUAUUGGACAAUGGGGGCAACCCUGAUCCAGCCAUGCCGCGUGUGUGAAGAAGGCCUUUUGGUUGUAAAGCACUUUAAGCAGGGAGGAGAGGCUAAUGGUUAAUACCCAUUAGAUUAGACGUUACCUGCAGAAUAAGCACCGGCUAACUCUGUGCCAGCAGCCGCGGUAAUACAGAGGGUGCGAGCGUUAAUCGGAAUUACUGGGCGUAAAGCGAGUGUAGGUGGCUCAUUAAGUCACGUGUGAAAUCCCCGGGCUUAACCUGGGAACUGCAUGUGAUACUGGUGGUGCUAGAAUAUGUGAGAGGGAAGUAGAAUUCCAGGUGUAGCGGUGAAAUGCGUAGAGAUCUGGAGGAAUACCGAUGGCGAAGGCAGCUUCCUGGCAUAAUAUUGACACUGAGAUUCGAAAGCGUGGGUAGCAAACAGGAUUAGAUACCCUGGUAGUCCACGCCGUAAACGAUGUCUACUAGCCGUUGGGGUCCUUGAGACUUUAGUGGCGCAGUUAACGCGAUAAGUAGACCGCCUGGGGAGUACGGCCGCAAGGUUAAAACUCAAAUGAAUUGACGGGGGCCCGCACAAGCGGUGGAGCAUGUGGUUUAAUUCGAUGCAACGCGAAGAACCUUACCUGGUCUUGACAUAGUGAGAAUCCUGCAGAGAUGCGGGAGUGCCUUCGGGAAUUCACAUACAGGUGCUGCAUGGCUGUCGUCAGCUCGUGUCGUGAGAUGUUGGGUUAAGUCCCGCAACGAGCGCAACCCUUUUCCUUAUUUGCCAGCGGGUUAAGCCGGGAACUUUAAGGAUACUGCCAGUGACAAACUGGAGGAAGGCGGGGACGACGUCAAGUCAUCAUGGCCCUUACGACCAGGGCUACACACGUGCUACAAUGGUAGGUACAGAGGGUUGCUACACAGCGAUGUGAUGCUAAUCUCAAAAAGCCUAUCGUAGUCCGGAUUGGAGUCUGCAACUCGACUCCAUGAAGUCGGAAUCGCUAGUAAUCGCAGAUCAGAAUGCUGCGGUGAAUACGUUCCCGGGCCU